ncrna:Clostridium perfringens str. 13 Cyclic di-GMP-II riboswitch
AAAUGUUAUAGAAACGUUGAUGUAUAUUCUGUAUUUGGGCAUCUGGAAUAUGCUGAGUUAGUGAUGCAACCGACUAUAUUUAUA